AGAGUUUGAUCCUGGCUCAGACUGAACGCUGGCGGCAGGCCUACACCAUGCAAGUCGAGCGGAUGAGUGGAGCUUGCUCCAUGAUUCAGCGGCGGACGUGUGAGUAAUGCCUAGGAAUCUGCCUGGUAGUGGGGGGCAACGUUUCGAAAGGAACGCUAAUACCGCAUACGUCUACGGGAGAAAGCAGGGGACCUUUCGGGCCUUGCGCUAUCAGAUGAGCCUAGGUCGGAUUAGCUAGUUGGUGAGGUAACGGCUCACCAAGGCGACGAUCCGUAACUGGUCUGAGAGGAUGAUCAGUCACACUGGAGCUGAGACACGGUCCAGACUCCUACGGGAGGCAGCAGUGGGGAAUAUUGGACAAUGGGCGAAAGCCUGAUCCAGCCAUGCCGCGUGUGUGAAGAAGGUCUUCGGAUUGUAAAGCACUUUAAGUUGGGAGGAAGGGCAGUAAGUCAAUACCUUGCUGUUUUGACGUUACCGACAGAAUAAGCACCGGCUAACUUCGUGCCAGCAGCCGCGGUAAUACGAAGGGUGCAAGCGUUAAUCGGAAUUACUGGGCGUAAAGCGCGCGUAGGUGGUUCAGCAAGUUGGAUGUGAAAGCCCCGGGCUCAACCUGGGAACUGCAUCCAAAACUACUGAGCUAGAGUACGGUAGAGGGUGGUGGAAUUUCCUGUGUAGCGGUGAAAUGCGUAGAUAUAGGAAG
rnacentral:rRNA from 1 species